CUUUCCUACGGGAGGCAGCAGUGAGGAAUAUUGGUCAAUGGGAGAGAUCCUGAACCAGCCAAGCCGCGUGAGGGAAGACGGCCCUAUGGGUUGUAAACCUCUUUUGUCGGAGAACAAAACCCGGGACGUGUCCCGGACUGCGUGUAUCCGAAGAAAAAGCAUCGGCUAACUCCGUGCCAGCAGCCGCGGUAAUACGGAGGAUGCGAGCGUUAUCCGGAUUUAUUGGGUUUAAAGGGUGCUUAGGCGUUCCGUUAAGUCAGCGGUAGAAUUGCGGGGAUAAACCCCGUC
rnacentral:rRNA from 1 species